CCUACGGGAGGCAGCAGUGGGGGAUAUUGGACAAUGGGGGAAACCCUGAUCCAGCGACGCCGCGUGAGUGAAGAAGUAUUUCGGUAUGUAAAGCUCUAUCAGCAGGGAAGAAAGAAAUGACGUUACCGGAGUAAGAGGCCCCGGCUAACUACGUGCCAGCAGCAGCGGUAAUACGUAGGGGGCAAGCGUUAUCCGGAAUUACUGGGGGUAAAGGGAGCGUAGACGGUAAUGCAAGUCUGGAGUGAAAGGCGGGGGCUAAACCCCCGGACUGCUCUGGAAACUGUGUAACUGGAGUGCAGGAGAGGCAGGCGGAAUUCCUAGUGUAGCGGUGAAAUGCGUAGAUAUUAGGAGGAACACCAGUGGCGAAGGUGGUCUGCUGGACUGCAACUGACGUUGAGGCGCGAAAGCGUGGGGAGCAAACAGGAUUAGAUACCCGAGUAGUC
rnacentral:rRNA from 1 species